CCCUAUGGGGUGCAGUUAUACUGGUCAUAGACGGCCUGGGUUCAUCUUACGUCUAUCCGGAGCACAAUGCCUAUGCUCUGGACGGCUCGCCUCUGGAUAAGGCGGUGCUAUUCAACCUCACCGGCGGUGGGGCGCGGGCGGUGGAUGUGCGAGUGCCAGUCCCCGAGACCACAAAGAGCCAUUCCGUUCUUGUCACCGGCAGAUCGGAAGCGGACUGGGACCAGCUCGGCCACACCAUCUUCGACCUCGCCCGGGGGGAGGGGUAUUUAUGCCUUGCCAUUAUGGAGCGGGGAGACUCUAUGUCGAUCAUGGAGGAUAUGGAUGCAGUCCUUUACCUGGAGGAUAACGCCCUGCAGGGCGCUGAGCCCACACCGGGAUUUCGGCCCGAUGCUCCAGAGGGCCUGCGUACCCUCGUUCAGGAAUUGGCGGGGGGGC
rnacentral:rRNA from 1 species